rnacentral:rRNA from 1 species
UACGGGGGGAGCAAGCGUUGUUCGGAUUUACUGGGCGUAAAGGGCGCGUAGGCGGUAGCACAAGUCAGUUGUGAAAUCUCCGGGCUUAACUCGGAAAGGUCAACUGAUACUGUGCGACUAGAGUGCAGAAGGGGCAACUGGAAUUCUCGGUGUAGCGGUGAAAUGCGUAGAUAUCGAGAGGAACACCUGCGGCGAAGGCGGGUUGCUGGGCUGACACUGACGCUGAGACACGAAAGCGUGGGUAGCAAACAGG